AGAGUUUGAUCCUGGCUCAGAUUGAACGCUGGCGGCAGGCCUAACACAUGCAAGUCGAGCGGAAACGACACUACAAUCCUUCGGGUGCGUUAAUGGGCGUCGAGCGGCGGACGGGUGAGUAAUGCCUAGGAAAUUGCCUUGAUGUGGGGGAUAACCAUUGGAAACGAUGGCUAAUACCGCAUAAUGCCUACGGGCCAAAGAGGGGGAUCUUCGGACCUCUCGCGUCAAGAUAUGCCUAGGUGGGAUUAGCUAGUUGGUGAGGUAAUGGCUCACCAAGGCGACGAUCCCUAGCUGGUCUGAGAGGAUGAUCAGCCACACUGGAACUGAGACACGGUCCAGACUCCUACGGGAGGCAGCAGUGGGGAAUAUUGCACAAUGGGCGAAAGCCUGAUGCAGCCAUGCCGCGUGUAUGAAGAAGGCCUUCGGGUUGUAAAGUACUUUCAGUUGUGAGGAAGGGGGUAGCGUUAAUAGCGCUAUCUCUUGACGUUAGCAACAGAAGAAGCACCGGCUAACUCCGUGCCAGCAGCCGCGGUAAUACGGAGGGUGCGAGCGUUAAUCGGAAUUACCGGGCGUAAAGCGCACGCA
rnacentral:rRNA from 1 species